CUCCAAUAUUUCUCAGUUUAUAAAAAAGUCCAUCAUGAUUAACAGUAUCAAAGGCUCUUCGUAGGUCAACAAAGCAUGUAAAGAAUUUUUUAUUGCCUUGUUGAGUAUACUUUUCUAUAAGAGUUCUCAAAACUAAAUGAUGAUCACUGGUGCGCUUGCCUUUACAGAAACCAAUUUGUUCCGGUUUAAUAAUAUUUCUAUUUGCCAAAAAUUUCUCUAAACGAAUAUUUAAAAUUUUCACAAAUAACUUGCCUAAACAACUCCCAAUGGUAAUUCCUCUAUAAUUUGAAGGAUCAUCUUUUAAACCACUUUUAAAUAAAGGAACUAUAUAUCCUUUUG
rnacentral:lncRNA from 1 species